AACGAACGCUGGCGGCAGGCCUAACACAUGCAAGUCGAGCGAGGACUUCGGUCCUAGCGGCGGACGGGUGUGUAACGCGUGGGAACGUGCCCUUUGCUUCGGAAUAGCCCUGGGAAACGGGGAGUAAUACCGGAUGAGCCCUUGGGGGGAAAGAUUUAUCGGCGAAGGAUCGGCCCGCGUUGGAUUAGGUAGUUGGUGGGGUAAUGGCCUACCACGCCGACGAUCCAUAGCUGGUUUGAGAGGAUGAUCAGCCACACUGGGACUGAGACACGGCCCAGACUCCUACGGGAGGAAGCAGUAGGGAAUCUUAGACAAUGGGGGAAAUCCUGAUCUACCCAUGCCGCGUGAGCGAUGAAGGCCUUAGGGUUGUAAAGCUCUUUCAGCUGGGAAGAUAAUGACGGUACCAGCAGAAGAAGCCCCGGCUAACUCCGUG
rnacentral:rRNA from 1 species